CCUUUAGGCAAUGAGAAUGAACAGUUGUCUGCAGACAGUUUAUUCCAGCAAUGGCGACCUCUUUACUACCAUUUAAAAUACUAUUCUUCACAAAGAGAAGCAAAGAUUCCCAUCCUGACCAGAAAUUGCUUAAGCUACUGAGAAAGGGAAAGAAAGAACGCAAUAGACGUGCUAUUCCACCAAGGACCAGUACCAGUGUUUCAUCCCACUGUUUCUGAACUGUAUUACGACUAUG
rnacentral:misc_RNA from 1 species